GGGUUGUGAGGUUAAGCGACUAAGCGUACACGGUGGAUGCCCUGGCAGUCAGAGGCGAUGAAGGACGUGCUAAUCUGCGAUAAGCGUCGGUGAGGUGAUAUGAACCGUUAUAACCGGCGAUUUCCGAAUGGGGAAACCCAGUGUGUUUCGACACACUAUCAUUAACUGAAUCCAUAGGUUAAUGAGGCGAACCGGGGGAACUGAAACAUCUAAGUACCCCGAGGAAAAGAAAUCAACCGAGAUUCCCCCAGUAGCGGCGAGCGAACGGGGAGGAGCCCAGAGCCUGAAUCAGUGUGUGUGUUAGUGGAAGCGUCUGGAAAGGCGCGCGAUACAGGGUGACAGCCCCGUACACAAAAAUGCACAUACUGUGAGCUCGAUGAGUAGGGCGGGACACGUGGUAUCCUGUCUGAAUAUGGGGGGACCAUCCUCCAAGGCUAAAUACUCCUGACUGACCGAUAGUGAACCAGUACCGUGAGGGAAAGGCGAAAAGAACCCCGGCGAGGGGAGUGAAAAAGAACCUGAAACCGUGUACGUACAAGCAGUGGGAGCCUCUUAAUGGGGUGACUGCGUACCUUUUGUAUAAUGGGUCAGCGACUUAUAUUCUGUAGCAAGGUUAACCGAAUAGGGGAGCCGAAGGGAAACCGAGUCUUAACUGGGCGUUAAGUUGCAGGGUAUAGACCCGAAACCCGGUGAUCUAGCCAUGGGCAGGUUGAAGGUUGGGUAACACUAACUGGAGGACCGAACCGACUAAUGUUGAAAAAUUAGCGGAUGACUUGUGGCUGGGGGUGAAAGGCCAAUCAAACCGGGAGAUAGCUGGUUCUCCCCGAAAGCUAUUUAGGUAGCGCCUCGUGAAUUCAUCUCCGGGGGUAGAGCACUGUUUCGGCAAGGGGGUCAUCCCGACUUACCAACCCGAUGCAAACUGCGAAUACCGGAGAAUGUUAUCACGGGAGACACACGGCGGGUGCUAACGUCCGUCGUGAAGAGGGAAACAACCCAGACCGCCAGCUAAGGUCCCAAAGUCAUGGUUAAGUGGGAAACGAUGUGGGAAGGCCCAGACAGCCAGGAUGUUGGCUUAGAAGCAGCCAUCAUUUAAAGAAAGCGUAAUAGCUCACUGGUCGAGUCGGCCUGCGCGGAAGAUGUAACGGGGCUAAACCAUGCACCGAAGCUGCGGCAGCGACACUAUGUGUUGUUGGGUAGGGGAGCGUUCUGUAAGCCUGUGAAGGUGGCCUGUGAGGGUUGCUGGAGGUAUCAGAAGUGCGAAUGCUGACAUAAGUAACGAUAAAGCGGGUGAAAAGCCCGCUCGCCGGAAGACCAAGGGUUCCUGUCCAACGUUAAUCGGGGCAGGGUGAGUCGACCCCUAAGGCGAGGCCGAAAGGCGUAGUCGAUGGGAAACAGGUUAAUAUUCCUGUACUUGGUGUUACUGCGAAGGGGGGACGGAGAAGGCUAUGUUGGCCGGGCGACGGUUGUCCCGGUUUAAGCGUGUAGGCUGGUUUUCCAGGCAAAUCCGGAAAAUCAAGGCUGAGGCGUGAUGACGAGGCACUACGGUGCUGAAGC
rnacentral:rRNA from 1 species